CUCUUCAUGAAGUCAUGUGGGGUUUCAUUCUGCCCUUGACGAAGUUGCAUGAGGGAAGCCGCUGUCUUUCUGAUGCGCUUACUACUGGCAAAGAAGGUAGACAACUUAUCGGACAGAUCUGAGUAAGAGGCUAUGGAAUUGGGCUCUAAGGUUGAGAACCAGUCCCUGGCUGCGUGGGUCAACGUUUGAGGAAAAGCUUUGCACAUCACCUGGUCUAGGGCAACUUGCAAGUUCAUGACGUGGGUAUAGAUAUUAAGAUGGUUGAUAGGGUCGAUAGUUCCAUCAUAUUUUUUUAUACGGGGGUACUUAAAUCUGUCCGGUAGGGGGAAUGAUAAUACUUCAGGAGUGAACGGGGUGUCAGGGAUAAAACACGUUGACCCCCGAGCAUUUCUCUAUAGGCCAGCUGUAAUUCCUUCUUGAAUGAUUCGGGCAAUCUCACUGGAAUCCAUGGCGACCGAUCUAGAGCCCGAGGCCAUAUUACGAAUUCCUGAGGUUCCCACUCCGCCAGUUGCAAGGUUUGGUGGUCGGGCUCGAGCAUCAGCCAUAAAACUACCAUGCUCAGCUUGCGCUGGUGACGAAUGCGAAUUUCUUUGACUUAACAGUUGCAUGAGUGUGGCCACCUGCUGACGGAGCUGUUCAAAGGCUUCGGUUGUGACG
rnacentral:lncRNA from 1 species